rnacentral:rRNA from 1 species
CAGCUCUUCAAGUGGUCGGGAUAAUUAUUGGGCUUAAAGUGUCCGUAGCCGGUUUAGUAAGUUCCUGGUAAAAUCGGGUAGCUUAACUAUCUGUAUGCUAGGAAUACUGCUAUACUAGAGGGCGGGAGAGGUCUGAGGUACUACAGGGGUAGGGGUGAAAUCUUAUAAUCCUUGUAGGACCACCAGUGGCGAAGGCGUCAGACUGGAACGCGCCUGACGGUGAGGGACGAAAGCCAGGGGAGCGAACCGGAUUAGAUACCCGAGUAGUCC